rnacentral:lncRNA from 1 species
ACUUCAAUUUUGCUCUAUUGAGUGCGCCAAGUCCAUUUCUACAUCCAUUUAAUACAAAAUUAACUCCGACUCAGUCCGACACUCUCCAGAUGUGUCGACUAGUCACUAAUACUGUAGCUAAUCCUAUCCAAACCUCAGGAACACUAUAUCCUCCCCCCACUACAAAAAGUUUCGUCCUCGAAACUUAAAUUCAUACCUCAAUCCGG